rnacentral:lncRNA from 1 species
CAGCAGCAUGGUCCUGGUUCCAUUUUUGUUGCUCUUCUAGGAGUCUUCCAUGUUCUGCUUGCGUGUUUUGGAUGUCGAGGAGGGUGUUGUCGGUACGAGUGAAGAAAGCACCGGCCUCUUGAUAGUCAUCAUUUGUAAAAGCGUAGGAGGCGUCGGAGUAUCGUCCUGCAUAAAUUGGGGCGAAGGUCUAGAUCCUGAAGCUCCAUAUGGAUCAGUGGAGUACCUGCCCGUAUGAAAAGGCGGGUUUGUCCACUGGUGAUCUUGGCUCUACGGCCAUGUCUCCUCUGUUGGCUCUUGUGGUUGCGCAUGACGAACCCAUGGGUCU